GCGGGGCCUCUGCAUGGAGAAGAAGUGAAAGUUUACAGAGAUGUGGGUUUAAAUGCAGGGAGGACUGAAACCACUACUGCACCUCAGUUCCAGAAAGUCUGACGUUGAGGAGGAAGAAGAGAAAUGGACGUGUUUGCAUCAACAGUCGAAGCUAAAAGUUUGCAUUUCUGGCUCAAAGUGUUUAUAGUAGAAAAGUGUGUGGGAGUUCGAUGAUUUGGAAAGAAUUUUCUGUCCUCAAGCUUCUUACAGGCUUUCUGUGGUUAUGACUCAAACUCUGCCUUCAUAAAAUAAAUGUAAUUAAGCAGAAAAAAAGAUUAAAAGUUGAAGAAAAAAUAUCUGAAGCACAACUUCUGGAAUGAUCUUUGACCUCUGGUGAGGUGGAGGAAACUUAGCAGAGCCUGCAGUCUGUGUUUUUCAGCAACACGAAGCAUCUGGGACAGAAAACGGAGAAAACAUUUGAAGAGAAAACGGAGAAAACAUUUGAAGAGAAAACAUUUUGGUUGCUGUGGUAAAAAGUUUGAACUCUCAGGCUGAAGCAACUUGUAAUUCCUGUUCUUAGAUACUUAAAAAAACAUUACGCAACAUUCAAAUGUAAAUAUAAACUGAGUCUAAACAUAAUGUGAAGCAUAACAUUUUUAUAAAAAGGCGUAUUUGGAUGAAGCUUAAGGAAAUAGAAGUGAUAAAGCAGAGUAGCAUCAAACUGUUUCCUGGAUGUAAUCCCAGACGAAUCCGUCUGUCAUUCAAGAUUAAGUUCAACUUUAUUUAUAAAUCCCAUUCAAAACAGCUGCUGUACCCAAGUACUGCUCAUAAAAACAGAAAUAAUAAGAAUAUACAGGGGAGAAAAAUAAAACAAGAAUAUUGAAAACAUUAAGAAAAGAAAGAUGAAAAAUUCAACUAAGAGCAGCAGGAAACGUUUCAUGGUCUGGAUCAGUUUCUCUGUGUUUUAGGAGUUUCCUGUCUGACCUGAAUAAAGUGAGGAAAGGAUUCAGCAGCUCUGGACGUCAUGCAGAGCAGAUCUGGACGUCAUGCAGAGCAGGUCAUGCAGUUCUGCAGCAGAGACACAUGCAACACGCAGGCAGGGCUGGAGAAACACCAACCAGAGAUAAAAGCAUCAGGAGGCGAGAACAGCGGCCUGUUGGCUGCUGGUGGCAGCUGCUCAUCGUGGAUCUGAGCUCCAUCCGUCUGGUGAGCUUCCCACGGACGUCACCGGCUCUAAUGCAGCUGAUUCAAACCUCCAGGAACCAGAAUCAGAUGAUGUGAGGCGAUAAGCAGGACCGUUGGACCCGGCAGCUUCUGCUUUAAGCUAAGUACAGACUUCAGA